rnacentral:snRNA from 1 species
GUGCUCGUUUCAGCAACACAUAUACUAAAAUUGGAACUAUGCAGAGAUUAUCAUAGCCCCUGCCAAAAGGCGACACAUGCACAUAGAUUCUUGAAGCAUUCUG